UGAUUUGGUCAUCUGUGAUGCCAGUAGUCCCUCUGGUGGCCCAUGUGUGAAUCAGGACAACCCGAAAAAAGGUCAACGACAUGUCAAAGACCUCUUUGAGGAGCGUCAUGUAUAUGUUUCUUCUGGAUACAUUCUUUGGGUGUAAUGUCUUGUUCUAACAUGUCAAAUAAAGUGUUCUAUAUAAAACAAUCCUAACCGUUGGAGCUACCUUAAUUGUAUCUGAUUUGUUUAACACCAAGGCGCAUGUAGUAGGCUUGUCAUCUGACAUGUAUCAAUCAACCCUUUUGUAAGCAUGGAACUCUGAACCAUCCACCGGAGGGAGAUAAGUGUUGCACACCAAUUUCCCGUCUAGGACAAACAAUGGGUGUCAAAACACAAGCUUUCCAAUGUCCAGUAGGAUGAACUGACUCAAUGUUAUAGUGGUUUGCCAAAGUGAAACCAGCAGGGCUGUGGUUGGAUGCAGUGUUGGUAAUUUUCAACUGAAAUUACAACUUUCCUUGAUACCUCUCACUAGCUUGGUUUCCAUCCAAAUAUGGACAUUUCUUCUUUAAUGAUAUGCAUGUCAC
ensembl:lncRNA